GGCCUAACACAUGCAAGUCGAACGGCAGCACGGGGCAACCUGGUGGCGAGUGGCGAACGGGUGAGUAAUAUAUCGGAAUGUACCCUAGAGUGGGGGAUAACGUAGCGAAAGUUACGCUAAUACCGCAUACGAUCUACGGAUGAAAGUGGGGGAUCGCAAGACCUCAUGCUCAUGGAGCAGCCGAUAUCUGAUUAGCUAGUUGGUAGGGUAAAAGCCUACCAAGGCGACGAUCAGUAGCUGGUUUGAGAGAACGACCAGCCACACUGGAACUGAGACACGGUCCAGACUCCUACGGGAGGCAGCAGUGGGGAAUUUUGGACAAUGGGGGCAACCCUGAUCCAGCAAUGCCGCGUGAGUGAAGAAGGCCUUCGGGUUGUAAAGCUCUUUUGUCAGGGAAGAAACGGUGGCCUCUAAUACAGGUUACUAAUGACGGUACCUGAAGAAUAAGCACCGGCUAACUACGUGCCAGCAGCCGCGGUAAUACGUAGGGUGCAAGCGUUAAUCGGAAUUACUGGGCGUAAAGCGUGCGCAGGCGGUUAUAUAAGUCAGAUGUGAAAUCCCCGGGCUCAACCUGGGAACUGCAUUUGAGACUGUAUGGCUAGAGUGUGUCAGAGGGGGGUAGAAUUCCACGUGUAGCAGUGAAAUGCGUAGAUAUGUGGAGGAAUACCGAUGGCGAAGGCAGCCCCCUGGGAUAACACUGACGCUCAUGCACGAAAGCGUGGGGAGCAAACAGGAUUAGAUACCCUGGUAGUCCACGCCCUAAACGAUGUCUACUAGUUGUUGGGUCUUAAUUGACUUAGUAACGCAGCUAACGCGUGGAGUAGACCGCCUGGGGAGUACGGU
rnacentral:rRNA from 1 species